rnacentral:lncRNA from 1 species
AACUUAUAAAGAGAUGUUUAGGCAGGACUGUUGCAACAACAACAAUACAAUUUUAUAAAAAACAGCAAGACAUUCUCAUUAUACUUAAUCUGAGCUUUCAGAUUGAACCGUAUGAGAGGGAAGAGGACAGACCCAAGAGCAUUCUCAGUGUGCCCAUCCUGAACCACAAAAAUGAGGUUAUAGGUGCUGUCAUGGCUGUGAACAAAAGCAGGCCAGGCACAUGUGCAGGGAGCUUUUUCUCAGAACAAGAUGAGAAAGUGCUGUUGUCACACAUGGUGUGGUUCGGACUGGAAAACUUUCAGCUUUGUACUGUUGGAAUUGACUCAGCUGGUGUCACAUGACUACACCUCUCUGAAUGACAUGCUCAGCAAACUGUCUGCUGUCAUCCUGCCAGUUACAAAAGCACAAUUCUGUACUAUUUUCAUCUCAGAUGACAGUUCCACGGGGCCUUUCUCAAAGAUGGUCCAUAUAGAGCAUAAAGAAACCAAUUGCUCUUUCCAGUGUUCUACAAGGUGUGUGCCAGCUAGUCAAUAA